UAACCAACCCAGCAGAUGACAAAGUGGGUGCUGUAUUAUUCAGAUAAUACCGAGCGGUUGCUCUGGUCCCAUAAAGGUCAACAUUUAUGUUAAAUGUGCCCACCCAUAAUUUCUGGGAGUACAUUGUUGAUCUUACUUUUCAACGCAUUUGAAGGUGGAUAACCAACCCAGCAGAUGACAAAGAGGGUGCUGUAUUAUUUAGAUAAUACUGAGUGGUUGUUCUGGUCCCAUAAAGGUCAACAAUUAUGUAAUAUGUGCUAUGUGCUUAUCCAUUAUUUCUGGGAGUACAUUGUUGAUCUUACUUUUCAACGCAUUUGAAGUUUGUGAUGGUCUUGUUCCAGAUAUAAUUCAGAUUGCUGCCACGGAGUAUGCUUAUAACUGAAAUUGCUCAACAGGUAAUGUGGAUUGUCAAAACUGGUCAAACAAGCAUGUCAGUAAACGGAAACCCUGUUGUCCUGCUAACAAUCAAAUGAGCACUGCGGAAUUUCUUUACUUGGUUACAGAAAUUUCAUAAUGUCAGUUUGCUGGAGGUUUGAUCUUCCAGCGCUAGCCACUGCAUGGAGGAAUAUUGGCUAACUACCAUUUUAUAUUAUUUCCCUUCAUUAGCAGUUCAUGAUACAAAACUCAUCGACAAGGAGAAACACAAGACAGCAUUAUUGAAGCCCAGGAUGUGUGCAGAACAGCAACAGCAGAAAAUAUUGCCAGAUUGUGACUGACCCUUUCUCAUCUUCAAACCACAUUCCAUCUUUAAGUCCAUAUUAUGGACUUACUAUAACCUUCAUUGUGAAGAACAGUUAAGACCAACCUAGAGUAAUUAAUAUGAAAAGAAAACUGGAAAGUGUUAUCUCUAAGUUAUUGUAAUUUUUCCAAAAAAAGACAGAACCACUAAAGUCAUUGUGCUGCAUACACAGUGCAUGUCUUGCAGAACUUCUACAAGGAAAGCUUAUUCUGUUAGCAUACAUGUGGCAAGCAAAUUUUCUUAACUCACCUUAGCACGAAGUGCUCAUGGUAAGAUAUUGUGAUCAUGCUGUGUCCGUAGUCCGUCAACAUUUUGUGUUAAAGCAAAAUCUUCUUCAAAACCACUGAAUUUAUUUUGAGGAAACUUAGCAUUACGUGACCACUGAUACAGAGAAAAUAUAUUUUAUAUAUAAAGGACAUGUAACAUAGCAUUACAGGACAACUGAUACAGAGCGAAUAUAUUUUAAUAUAUAAAAAUCAUCAACAGGCAGAUAUGUAACAUAGCAUUACUGUACCGCUGGUACAGAGAGAAUAUAUUUUUAUGUAUAAAAUCAUCAAAAGGCAGACAUGUAGCAUAGCAUUACAGGCCCACUGGUACAGAGAUAAUAUAUUUUUAUAUAUAAAAUCAUCAAAAGGCAGACAUGUAGCAUAGCAUUACAGGCCCACUGGUACAGAGAUAAUAUAUUUUUAUGUAUAAAAUCAUCAAAAGGCAGACAUGUAGCAUAGCAUUACAAGCCC